rnacentral:piRNA from 1 species
UCCGCAGUAUACACGUACAUCCAAAGCC